rnacentral:rRNA from 1 species
AGUAACCUGCCCUUGACUCUGGGAUAAGCCCGGGAAACUGGGUCUAAUACCGGAUAGGAACGUCCACCGCAUGGUGGUUGUUGGAAAGAUUUAUCGGUCAUGGAUGGACUCGCGGCCUAUCAGCUUGUUGGUGAGGUAAUGGCUCACCAAGGCGACGACGGGUAGCCGGCCUGAGAGGGUGACCGGCCACACUGGGACUGAGACACGGCCCAGACUCCUACGGGAGGCAGCAGUGGGGAAUAUUGCACAAUGGGCGAAAGCCUGAUGCAGCGACGCCGCGUGAGGGAUGACGGCCUUCGGGUUGUAAACCUCUUUCAGUAGGGAAGAAGCGAAAGUGACGGUACCUGCAGAAGAAGCACCGGCUAACUACGUGCCAGCAGCCGCGGUAAUACGUAGGGUGCGAGCGUUAUCCGGAAUUAUUGGGCGUAAAGAGCUCGUAGGCGGUUUGUCGCGUCUGUCGUGAAAGUCCGGGGCUUAACCCCGGAUCUGCGGUGGGUACGGGCAGACUAGAGUGCAGUAGGGGAGACUGGUAUUCCUGGUGUAGCGGUGGAAUGCGCAGAUAUCAGGAGGAACACCGAUGGCGAAGGCAGGUCUCUGGGCUGUAACUGACGCUGAGGAGCGAAAGCAUGGGGAGCGAACAGGAUUAGAUACCCUGGUAGUCCAUGCCGUAAACGUUGGGCACUAGGUGUGGGGACCAUUCCACGGUUUCCGCGCCGCAGCUAACGCAUUAAGUGCCCCGCCUGGGGAGUACGGCCGCAAGGCUAAAACUCAAAGGAAUUGACGGGGGCCCGCACAAGCGGCGGAGCAUGCGGAUUAAUUCGAUGCAACGCGAAGAACCUUACCAAGGCUUGACAUGUUCUCGAUCGCCGUAGAGAUACGGUUUCCCCUUUGGGGCGGGAUCACAGGUGGUGCAUGGUUGUCGUCAGCUCGUGUCGUGAGAUGUUGGGUUAAGUCCCGCAACGAGCGCAACCCUCGUUCCAUGUUGCCAGCACGUAGUGGUGGGGACUCAUGGGAGACUGCCGGGGUCAACUCGGAGGAAGGUGGGGACGACGUCAAAUCAUCAUGCCCCUUAUGUCUUGGGCUUCACGCAUGCUACAAUGGCCGGUACAAUGGGUUGCGAUACUGUGAGGUGGAGCUAAUCCCAAAAAGCCGGUCUCAGUUCGGAUUGGGGUCUGCAACUCGACCCCAUGAAGUCGGAGUCGCUAGUAAUCGCAGAUCAGCAACGCUGCGGUGAAUACGUUCCCGGGCCUUGUACACACCCCCCGACAAGUCACGAAAGUCGGUAACACCCGAAGCCGGUGGCCUAACCCUU